UGCAAGUCGAGGGGUAACAGGUUGUGCUUGCACAAUGCUGACGACCGGCGCACGGGUGCGUAACGCGUAUACAAUCUACCUUUUGCUGAGGGAUAGCCCAGAGAAAUUUGGAUUAAGACCUCAUGGUAUCAUAUUAUCGCAUGGUAAAAUGAUUAAAGGUUACGGCAAAAGAUGAGUAUGCGUCCUAUUAGCUAGAUGGUGUGGUAACGGCACACCAUGGCAACGAUAGGUAGGGGCCCUGAGAGGGGGAUCCCCCACACUGGUACUGAGACACGGACCAGACUCCUACGGGAGGCAGCAGUGAGGAAUAUUGGACAAUGGAGGCAACUCUGAUCCAGCCAUGCCGCGUGCAGGAAGACUGCCCUAUGGGUUGUAAACUGCUUUUAUAUAGGAAGAAACCUUUCCACGUGUGGAGAGCUGACGGUACUAUAAGAAUAAGCAUCGGCUAACUCCGUGCCAGCAGCCGCGGUAAUACGGAGGAUGCAAGCGUUAUCCGGAAUCAUUGGGUUUAAAGGGUCCGUAGGUGGAUUAAUAAGUCAGAGGUGAAAUCCUGCAGCUCAACUGUAGAAUUGCCUUUGAAACUGUUAAUCUUGAGUCAUUAUGAAGUGGUUAGAAUGUGUAGUGUAGCGGUGAAAUGCAUAGAUAUUACACAGAAUACCGAUUGCGAAGGCAGAUCACUAAUAAUGUACUGACACUGAGGGACGAAAGCGUGGGGAGCGAACAGGAUUAGAUACCCUGGUAGUCCACGCCGUAAACGAUGGAUACUAGCUGUUUGGACUUCGGUCUGAGUGGCUAAGCGAAAGUGAUAAGUAUCCC
rnacentral:rRNA from 1 species